CUUCUUGUUUUUGGCCCCGUCACUUCACUGAUAUCACCUGCAUAUAUAUGAUAUCCAUCUGCGUUUGGAAACAUCAUAUUGAGCUACCAAUGGCUACUACAAGUUCUUGCGCAUCUAGUUGCGUAGUAAACUUGAGAAAGAGGAAGGGGGGAGAAGAUCUCCACAAUGAAGGUAACGUGAAGCAGCACCUCCUUUCUUCGGAUAGUGCCCUAGUAGAUGGAACACACCGCUAGUUGAGGUUCUGAUCUCUGUAUUCCAUGAAUACGUCGACGGUGAAGUAAAAGCCGGGCGCCUAAGGAACAUUAUCUUCGAGGAACACGAAUGGGAAAAUGUUGAUUGCGAAGUAGAAGUGGAAAUGAUCCCCGAGCAAGACGAAUGGGAAAAAUUGCAUUGCACUUUCAUCGACAGGGCGAUCGCAGCAAACAUACCGUUCGGAACCAAGGAUCCCCGUUACUGCUUCAGAGAUGCGCCACAAGAUUUUGGCCAUGAUACGCAACUCGUCUUGCUGAAAUGGUUUAGUUCUGUGAUUUGGUUAGAAAGAGGGAAGAAAGAGACUGUAUUUUGUUGUUAAUUUCAUUUUGGUGAUAUAUUAGUAUGAAAUAUUUGCUUCAUUUUAUGUU